rnacentral:misc_RNA from 1 species
GAUGAAGAACGUAGCGAAAUGCGAUACGUAAUGUGAAUUGCAGAAUUCAGUGAAUCAUCGAAUCUUUGAACGCACAUUGCGCCCGCCAGUAUUCUGGCGGGCAUGCCUGUUCGAGCGUCAUUUCAACCAUCAAGCCCCAGGCUUGUGUUGGAGCCCUGCGGCUGCCGCAGCCUCCCAAAACCAGUGGCGGGCUCGCUAUCACACCGAGUGCAGUAGUUUACUCUUCGCUCAGGGCGUGUGGCGGGUGCUAGCCGUAAAACCCCCAACUUCUCAAGGUUGACCUCGGAUCAGGUAGGAAUACCCGCUGAACUUAAGCAUAUCAAUAAGCGGAGGA